GGUGCCGUGGACGAAUUGGUAGAGUCACCGCCCUUUCAAGGCGGAAUUUGAGAGUUCAAACCUCUCCGGCAUCACCA
rnacentral:tRNA from 1 species